AAUAAAAGCCUAUUUUUCUUACUAACUUUACUUCCUAACUACUUUUUAUCUUUUCCUUUUUUUUUUUUUUUUAAUCUCAAAAUUCAGGGGCUGGGUAAGAUUUUGGA
rnacentral:tRNA from 1 species